UUAACACAUGCAAGUCGAGCGGUAAGGCCCUUCGGGGUACACGAGCGGCGAACGGGUGAGUAACACGUGGGUGAUCUGCCCUGCACUUCGGGAUAAGCCUGGGAAACUGGGUCUAAUACCGGAUAUGACCAAAGGCUGCAUGGUUUUUGGUGGAAAGGUUUACUGGUGCAGGAUGGGCCCGCGGCCUAUCAGCUUGUUGGUGGGGUAAUGGCCUACCAAGGCGACGACGGGUAGCCGACCUGAGAGGGUGACCGGCCACACUGGGACUGAGACACGGCCCAGACUCCUACGGGAGGCAGCAGUGGGGAAUAUUGCACAAUGGGCGAAAGCCUGAUGCAGCGACGCCGCGUGAGGGAUGACGGCCUUCGGGUUGUAAACCUCUUUCAGCAGGGACGAAGCGAAAGUGACGGUACCUGCAGAAGAAGCACCGGCCAACUACGUGCCAGCAGCCGCGGUAAUACGUAGGGUGCAAGCGUUGUCCGGAAUUACUGGGCGUAAAGAGCUCGUAGGCGGUUUGUCGCGUCGUCUGUGAAAACUCGAGGCUCAACCUCGAGCUUGCAGGCGAUACGGGCAGACUUGAGUACUGCAGGGGAGACUGGAAUUCCUGGUGUAGCGGUGAAAUGCGCAGAUAUCAGGAGGAACACCGGUGGCGAAGGCGGGUCUCUGGGCAGUAACUGACGCUGAGGAGCGAAAGCGU
rnacentral:rRNA from 1 species